rnacentral:rRNA from 1 species
UACGUAGGGGGCAAGCGUUGUCCGGAAUCAUUGGGCGUAAAGAGCGUGUAGGCGGCCUGAUAAGUCGGCUGUGAAAGUCAAGGGCUCAACCCUUGAACGCCGGCCGAUACUGUCAGGCUAGAAUCCGGAAGAGGCGAGUGGAAUUCCUGGUGUAGCGGUGAAAUGCGCAGAUAUCAGGAGGAACACCUAUGGCGAAGGCAGCUCGCUGGGACGGUAUUGACGCUGAGACGCGAAAGCGUGGGGAGCGAACAGG